rnacentral:lncRNA from 1 species
AAGUCUAUUAUAUUGGUCUUUUGGAUGAUAUCUCUAUUUAUCAAUAGUGAUCUUAAUUUAUUGUACAAAACUAAGAUAUUUCUUACUAAAAAUUUUAAGAUAUUUGAUAUAAAUGAGACUACUUAUGUUAUUGGCAUUGAAAUAUUAAGGGAUAAAAUCAAAUAUUACUAGGAUUAUUUUAGAAAUAAUAUAUUGAUCAAGUCUUUAAGAGAUUUA